GCACUGUUGAGCUUGUGCAGAGGCAGCAGCUUUUGCCAGAGGGGAACUGGAAUCCCCUGGUUGGGCCUGGGUUCCCCUGAGGUUUUUUUUCUCGAUGGGAGUUUUGGGUUCCUCACCACCGUUUGCAUAUUGUUUUGCACUAUCUGCCUGGCCGGGGGGGCUGCUUUCGAAUUCAUACUUGUAUUCAAUGUGUCUCAUGUACAGCUGCUUUGUAACAAUGAAAAUUGUAAAAAGCGCUAUAUAAAUAAAGUUGAGUUGAGUUGAGUCUUGAAUGAGCCACAGAACCCAACUGAGGAGGCCACAAAAAGUAAGCUUAAGUAGUUGUUUGAGGCAAACAUCCAUACGGGUUCACACAGGAUUCUAUUAGAUUAUAGUUAAGGAGUGGACCUCUGACCCUCAGGUGGGUCCAUCGGCAUGUUAUAUCUGAAUCUUUGUAUUACUGGCACUUCUUAUGAAUAUUGCUUUGCUUUGACGAAUCUCUUGUUGUUUUUUCUCAAUAUUAGUUGCUUUGGAUAAAAGCAUCUGCCAAAUGAAUAAAUGUAAAUGUCCCCAGCCUCCCUUGGUGAAAAUAUGUAUAUUUUAUACUUAAAUGAUUCAAACAUGUACUUUCAGAAUUUGAAAAAGUCAUCUAAUCAAAUUUUAAUUUUCAAAUGAUUCAAACAUUUACUUUCAGAAUUUGAAAAAGUCAUCUGAUCAAAUUUUAAUUUUCAAAUGCAAAAUAGCUCAACUUUAAAAGCUACAGUAUUUUCUUAUAUACUUUGUCCACAGACUAUCGCACAAAAGUCCUGCAGAAAUUACAAGAGCUGGUUGAAAACCAACAGGACAUUCUUGCAACGCACAAUAUUGGCUGCUCUGGCUCCUAGUAACAUGGCAGAUGAGGAUAUCCUUGAUGAACCCUGCCAAACAUUAGAGGAUUUCACACAGUUGGACAAGUUUGACAGAGGCAACACAAAAGAACUUCAAGACGUUGAAGGCGAUUGAUGUGGAAGACCUUAUCGCAUUAGUACUGAAAUUUGCCCCACACAGGAAUUUAAAGUGAUAGCGGUGGUGGCAGAUAUUCGAUUUCAAGAGUUCGCACCUACAAAGAGUUCCAAGGAUCAUGUUUAUACUUCUAGUUAAAUAUACCAAUGUUUUUGGCAUGCAGUAUUUUUGCACGUAUUGAUUAAAUGAUGUUGUUUAUUUAGAAUUAAAUUAUUUAAUAUAUUGUGCAUUAUAUUAUAUCACAAAUGUGAUAAACCUCGUUUCUA